UACGUAGGGGGCAAGCGUUGUCCGGAAUUAUUGGGCGUAAAGGGCACGCAGGCGGUUUCGUCAGUCCGAUGUGACAGGCCACGGCUCAACCGUGGAAGGCCAUUGGAAACUGCGAAACUUGAGGACAGAAGAGGAGAGUGGAAUUCCACGUGUAGCGGUGAAAUGCGUAGAUAUGUGGAGGAACACCAGUGGCGAAGGCGACUCUCUGGUCUGUACCUGACGCUGAGGUGCGAAAGCAUGGGGAGCAAAC
rnacentral:rRNA from 1 species